rnacentral:rRNA from 1 species
UGGGGAAUAUUGGACAAUGGGGGCAACCCUGAUCCAGCAAUGCCGCGUGUGUGAAGAAGGUCUUCGGAUUGUAAAGCACUUUCGACGGGGACGAUGAUGACGGUACCCGUAGAAGAAGCCCCGGCUAACUUCGUGCCAGCAGCCGCGGUAAUACGAAGGGGGCUAGCGUUGCUCGGAAUGACUGGGCGUAAAGGGCGUGUAGGCGGUUUACACAGUCAGAUGUGAAAUCCCCGGGCUUAACCUGGGAGCUGCAUUUGAUACGUGUAGACUAGAGUGUGAGAGAGGGUUGUGGAAUUCCCAGUGUAGAGGUGAGAUUCGUAGAUAUUGGGAAGAACACCGGUGGCGAAGGCGGCAACCUGGCUCAUGACUGACGCUGAGGCGCGAAAGCGUGGGGAGCAAACAGGAUUAG